rnacentral:ncRNA from 2 species
GGUAGAACAGGCGAUGGAGUCCGCCUAAUCCAACCGCCGAAUCCGUCGGCUGAUGACUCCUGUCUAUGA